rnacentral:lncRNA from 1 species
CAAGCCACCACCAUAUGAAUACAAGCCACCACCAUAUAACUACAAACCUCCUCCAUAUGAAUACAAGCCACCAUCAUAUAACUACAAACCUCCUCCAUAUGAAUACAAGCCACCACCAUAUAACUACAAACCUCCUCCAUAUGAAUACAAGCCACCACCAUAUGAAUACAAGCCUCCUCCAUAUGAAUACAAGCCACCACCAUAUAACUACAAACCUCCUCCAUAUGAAUACAAGCCACCAUCAUAUGGUUAUAAACCUCCAUACAACAGCUAUUCACCUCCUCCGUACGAGUACAAGCCACCAUCAUAUGGUUAUAAACCUCCAUACAACAGCUAUUCCCCUCCUCCCUACGAAUACAAGCCACCAUCAUAUGGCUAUAAACCUCCUUCAUAUGGAUACAAGCCACCACUAUCUCCUCCAUAUAAGUAGAAAUCUCCUCCAUCUCUCUCGCCUCCUACACCGUUACUGCAAGUCUUCACCUCCGCCACCUCUUCCAUGCAUUACUGCGAGUCUUCACCUCUACAACCAUAUUAUUUCGUGUAUACCUCACCCCUGUCACUCGAGUAUUAUUAAGUAAGGGUUUU